rnacentral:lncRNA from 1 species
CUAGGCUGAUGCCAUAUCAUUGAGAGGUUUUUGCGUCAGCGGAGUGACGUCCGAAGGGUGGAAAUGGAAGUUGGAAUUCCACUUUGUGGAAUCUCUCUUUAUGUCUUUGGGACCACAUAUCUUUGUUUCUAAGGCCACCUCCAAACCGAUCUCCAGCGCACACAAUCCAGCUCGGUUAAGGCAUGAGAUUCAUCAGUCUGGCCAAGCUCACGGAGAAAACUAGACUGGGAUGUUGCUCGAAGGUUGCUGAUGUCAGCAACUUUUUAUUAAUGUUAUUUCUAUAAACACCUAUCAAUAUUAUUUGCUUUCCACGCCAAAGCUUCAUACAAAUUCAUCUCCUUUCAAUAUUUUUUACUUUCCACACUAAAUUUUCUACUACAAAAUUUCAUUUGUGAAAAAAUACAAAUGGCCUCUUCCAUCGAAGUCGGAGGGUCGUGGAUAAACGUUC